rnacentral:rRNA from 1 species
ACAGCAGUCGCCGCGGUAAUACGAAGGGUGCAAGCGUUACUCGGAAUUACUGGGCGUAAAGCGUGCGUAGGUGGUGGUUUAAGUCCGUUGUGAAAGCCCUGGGCUCAACCUGGGAAUUGCAGUGGAUACUGGGUCACUAGAGUGUGGUAGAGGAUAGUGGAAUUUCCGGUGUAGCAGUGAAAUGCGUAGAGAUCGGAAGGAACAUCUGUGGCGAAGGCGACUAUCUGGGCCAACACUGACACUGAGGCACGAAAGCGUGGGGAGCAAACAGGAUUAGAUACCCCGGUAGUCCCUGUCUCUUAUAC